rnacentral:rRNA from 1 species
UCGCACCUACCGAUUGAAUGGUCCGGUGAAGCCUCGCGAUUGUGAAUUCGGUCGCGAGAACUUGUCUAAACCUUAUCAUUUAGAGGAAGGUGAAGUCGUAACAAGGUU